rnacentral:rRNA from 1 species
UGGGGAAUAUUGGACAAUGGGGGCAACCCUGAUCCAGCAAUGCCGCGUGUGUGAAGAAGGUCUUCGGAUUGUAAAGCACUUUCGACGGGGACGAUGAUGACGGUACCCGUAGAAGAAGCCCCGGCUAACUUCGUGCCAGCAGCCGCGGUAAUACGAAGGGGGCUAGCGUUGCUCGGAAUGACUGGGCGUAAAGGGCGUGUAGGCGGUUUACACAGUCAGAUGUGAAAUCCCCGGGCUUAACCUGGGAGCUGCAUUUGAUACGUGUAGACUAGAGUGUGAGAGAGGGUUGUGGAAUUCCCAGUGUAGAGGUGAAAUUCGUAGAUAUUGGGAAGAACACCGGUGGCGAAGGCGGCAACCUGGCUCAUGACUGACGCUGAGGCGCGAAAGCGUGGGGAGCAAACAGGAUUAGAUACCCUGGUAGUCCACGCUGUAAACGAUGUGUGCUAGAUGUUGGGUACUUUGUUAUUC